rnacentral:lncRNA from 1 species
AUGCCCUCUGAUCUGUCCUUACCCAGGAGGAAGUGGGUGCCUGCCAGAGAGGAGCCUCCCAUGAGUCAGGUGUCCCCACUGCCUCCACACACAGGUGCACAUGAUGACCAACAUCACUGUCUACGUGUGCUUCCUCCUCAGGGAGACACUCAGAGACGCAGGCACUUUCUUGUUGGCUCCUCCUCGUCUGGGCUCCACUUGACUCAACAUCUCAGGGAACAGCUGAAGCUUCUGGAGGCAGCUGGUUUGGAUGGGAUUUUCUUUGGUGGAUUUUAUGAGAAGAAAGCUCACCCAGCAGUCUGUACUGCGUGUGGGUCCUGGCCCGGUAUGUCCCUGAGUGUGGGGGGCAGGACCAGAAGACAGCUGCUAAUGAGGAGAAAUGUGCUACCUGCUUCCCCACAGGAUUCAGGGACUCAGAGUGAUCCAGCUGUGGAGACUGUACUGAUUCCUGCCAAGUCUGAAAUCCAUAGAGAUGAGGAUCCACCUUUCUCAGUGCACGGCCAACCACACCCCUCUGAGGUCCGUCUCUCCUUCAGGCACUGCCGGAACCGAGAAUGGGGCCCGAGACUCCCCCUUCACUUCCCCUUCUCGGAUAAAUUAUUUCUUGUUUUAAAAAUACGUGAAGCACUGGCCAUGUGCCAGGCAUUGUUCUGGGUAACCUGAGAUACUCAGUGCUUUGAAAAGGAAAGAAAAAAAAUGAAAACGCUUGUUUUGUAAUGGGUUGACAGAAACACCCCCAAAUCAAGAAAUAGAUAGCAUUCUCACAAGGUGAUAAGAAGUAUGGGGAAAAAAUAGCCCUGAUAGGGGACUUGUGAAUGCUAGGAGGGGGGUUGUCUUUAAAUAGGUGGCAGCUUAGGUCUCUGAGGAGGGAACAUUUGGGCCAACCUGAGAUGGAGAGUUAGCUGUGCGGGCAAUCGUAAGGGGACAUUCAAGGAGAGAGAAUAGUCUGAGAGACAGGAGGGAGAGCCGUCAGGGAAGUCUGACUGAAGGACUACCGCCAUGAGAUGGACUUGGGAGGGUCACUCUGGUGACUCUGGAGGAGGCUGGCGAGGCAGGCAGCACGUGCAGAAGCAGGAGCAUUGGAGAGAAAUGCAGCUGGAGAUCCUGGCAGCUGCAACCGGCGCAGGAGAAGUGGAGUGGAUCCUCACACAGCUCUCAGAGGCGUUCUCUCUGUCUCCUCCCCUCCAUGAAGUCCUCUCAAGAUUUCAGGUUUUCAGAUAAAAGUCAGAGAGAAAGAGAUAGUGGUCAGACAACUCCUCCUGCUUCCCAUAAAACCUCUCCUGGGGUGGGGAAUCAAGGACCUAGAACUUCCUAACAUUAAGGUUUGAUAUUCUGUGCUGCCGUGGCAGCUUGUGAUUCCCACAGUGUCUUGAAUGCUCCUGAGGAGAAGGUUCCCUAGCCCUAUGAGCCUCCUCAUCAUGGGCUCUGGGUGCACUUCCUUCUCCUCCUUGAGCACAUCUCAGUUCCCUGUCAGCUCAUGGAAUGAUUCAAAUGAGCCAUCUCAUCUUCCCUUGAGAACCAGGGCUCACCUCCCCUCCACACCACAGAGCCUGAGUCCCACAGUCCCUGCUGGUUCACUCUUCUCACGUGCAACCCCCUAUGACGCUGUAUGGCAUGUGAUGUCCUCUUCCCCCUGGCUGUGAGAAUACGUGACUGAUAAACUGCUCCCAAGCUCACUUGUCCAGUGUGACACGUUGUGUUUUCAACAUCUUCAUAACCCUAGGGCGGGAAUGUCUCCCUCACCUACAGGGUAAUUAGGAGGUGACUACAGCACGUUCACGACCCAGGGAAGGGAGCUCUAUGAACAGGAAGCCAGAAGGGUCCUCUGGAAUGAAUCCCUUUGUAGAGAGAGUCAGGGAGAAGCUCCAAAGGAAUGAAUCCCUUAGGGCUGAGCUAGGCAGCUGGGCCCACUCCCUCUUCCUAUCUGAGCUCUUCAGAAUUUAUAGAGUCAGGUGCUUCAGAAGAACCAUCGAUAAAACAGUUCUUCUUAGUCAGUAUAUUCUUAUGGAGGUUAGAAUGGGGCCCCAAAGAAGGCCCCUCGGAAAGCCAACAUAUUCCCAAAUGACCAAUUCUAACCAAGGUCAGAUUGAGGAAAUUUGUGGUAGUGGUACGUGUGGUCAUGGGGAUCAUAGAUAAACAGUUUCUGCCAAGAUAGUUGCAUGCCCUGGGGACUGUCCAUUUCUGGAGGAGGACUGAGUCUUCCAGCACUGUGUUAAGGCAGGGGGCCCCCAGUGGUAUGUCACUGAGAUUUGGAGUCCAGGUGUGGGGUGAGGGUUACCAGCUGUGUGAGAGGAACAGCAUCCACCACAUGGGAAGUUGGGAGGCUGCAAUGGAAAAUGCUUAUAAAGCACCUGGCACUGGCUGGCCUUGAUCAAUGCACACUUGAAAGUGUUUAUUGUUAUUGGGAGGUAAUUUAACCUUCUUGAGGCCUUGGGCCACAUGGAAAAUAAAAAUAGAUUUACAGAAUAACUUUUCUUUUUU